AGGACACUUUGGACAAGUUUUCUUAAAGUAGGGCUGUCAAAUUCAUUUUCCUCAAGAGCUACAUCAGCUUUAUAGUUGCCUUCAAAAGACUGUUGAAUCCAUGGAGGAAGAAUCCAUAGAAACAGAGGACCAACUAUAAUUUUUCUUAACAUACCAGUAGUGGUUAGUUUUUACCCAUUUCAGGUCCCCAGAUGUUACUGAAUGACAACUUCCAUCACUUUUGAUUAUCCGCCAUGCGAACCGGGAAUAAUAGGAUAACCCAAUUGCACUUAUGGCUCUGAGGUUUGGGAAUGGUUACAGGACAUUAACUUCACCAAACUUUGUUCCUAAUCUUGCAACAAGAAAAUGAGGACCAUGCUGUCCAGAGCCCACUUGAGGAGCAUUCAUUGAGUAACUUGCUCCGCUCCUUCCUCCAUGCCAUGCAGAGACCGGGGCGCAGCCCAUCCUUCCUCUUCCAGCCCCAAAGGUUUGGCCGUGAUGCCCGGGCCAGUCUCAGCAGUGGCAUCCGAAUGAACCCCCGGGCAUGGGAUUCCAAUGCACCUCAGUUUCUGAGCAUGGCAGUUCCACAGCGCUUUGGCAAGAAAUGAAGUUAGAAAGUACAAUGUCAACCCCCAUGGCAGAAAAUAAGCCCCAAAACCAAUCCCAACCCAGAACUAUUGCCCAGUGGAUUCUGUCUUCUCCUACCCCUUCAACUCCUAUUACUGUUAUCACUGUGAAUUAACUGGGCAGCUGGCUCUCACUUGGGGCUUGUGCUUUGCUAAAUGUUAAUGGUCAUAAAUAAAUACUAUUACAUCUUGGAAAGAA